rnacentral:rRNA from 1 species
CCUACGGGCGGCAGCAGUGAGGAAUAUUGGUCAAUGGGCGCGAGCCUGAACCAGCCAAGUCGCGUGAGGGAUGAAGGUUCUAUGGAUCGUAAACCUCUUUUAUAAGGGAAUAAAGUGUGGGACGCGUCCUAUUUUGUAUGUACCUUAUGAAUAAGGAUCGGCUAACUCCGUGCCAGCAGCCGCGGUAAUACGGAGGAUACGAGCGUUAUCCGGAUUUAUUGGGUUUAAAGGGUGCGUAGGCGGGCUUUUAAGUCAGCGGUGAAAGUCGGGGGCUCAACCCUAGCAUUGCCGUUGAAACUGGGGGGCUUGAGUGUGGUUGAGGCAGGCGGAAUGCGCGGUGUAGCGGUGAAAUGCAUAGAUAUCGCGCAGAACCCCGAUUGCGAAGGCAGCGUGCCAAGCCGUGACUGACGCUGAUGCACGAAAGCGUGGGGAUCGAACAGGAUUAGAUACCCGAGUAGUC